GCAGUAACCCCUACCUGCUGUCACACGCCAGUGCCCCCCUGGAGCUCGCGGUCUCAGAAUUCCUACCCUCACACCCGCAAGACUACACAGUGGAGAACCUCAUCCGGAUGGGCAUGGCCGGCUCAGUCCUGCUGGGCCUCGGGAUUCUGCUCUUUCAGGCUCAGCACGGCCACGGAGGAGCCCAAGAUGCAGCCAGGAGCUGAACACAAGAGGGAACCGUGCACCGUCCCGAGUGGUGGAGCCCUGUUAUGACCUUAUGUGCCCAGGAGGUUCUGGAAGAGAAUCUGCAGCACGCGUUGUGUGAACUGUCUGACCAGGGAGGGAGAGACAUGGUGUGGGUGCAGGAGAAGGCCUGGGAGUCCCUGUGGAGGACUGGGCCUCGGUUAACCAUGGUGCCUUCCCACGCCACCAGUGAUGACUCUCCCUGACUGCCCCGUCCCCUCUCACCCCUGUGACGUGAGGCACAUCCCACAUGGCAGGUCUGUGUCCACACCUUACACACCUUCUUGCUCUGGCCCACUUUCAUGUAAUAUAUUUGUUUAUUUUUAAUUUCCACAUUGGUUGCUGUGUGCUAUUGACCUCCAUCCCUUCAGUCAGAAACAGAAUGUCGUUUAAGUAACUGAAUAAAUGGGUGAACUUGG